UAUAUCAUGGUUUUAAGCUUCCAUAUUUUGUAUUUUAUUCCCCAGUGAGAUGGAUCCUGUGAAGACAAGUUGGUGUAUUUAAAAUAAAAGGAACUGGCAUCCCCAAUCAUUCUGAUCAACCUUGGAGGUGACAUUCCUUUUAAAGCAACAGGACUCCGCAGAAGAGCAAGCAGAACCCACCCAAGAUGCAAAUCUUCACUGCUCCAGGGAGGAUGAUUCAGGAUGCUCUGGUUUCUUCCAGUGCUGGAGUUCUGACCUGAUCUCUCCCUGCAGCUCUUUUGGACACAUCAUGCCAAAGAAAGGAAUGCAACUGAAAGAAAUCAAGAACAGGCCCUCAGGGCCUGAUCAGUGGCAGAAUUGACAAACACACACAUUGGUCGCCUUGUGAUCUGGGUAUUGGUGCCCCCGAUGGUGAGUUGCUUGAAGAAGAAUAUUGUUCUUCCAGUCUCCAGCGUGUCUCCAUCCCCACCAUUCUGGUAGCCCCUUGGUUCCAUCUGAUCCGACCUACUUUUACAGAAUUCAAGGUUAGGCCUUUGUCUGAGGAACUGCAAUUUCCUUGCUAGUCUGAGCAACAAAAAUACCUGCUGUCUGCAGGCUUGCCUUCCCCUUUGCCUCCUUUUCUCUACCCUCUUUACUUGACUGUACGUGUGCCGGGUCUGACACGGUUUUCUAUUUGCCAGCCUGUGUCCUGUCCUGCCCACUCCUUUGACAGUCUUAUCUGCCUCCUCACCUUGGCUCUCCUCACUCUGGCUCUUCCUGACAGCGGUUGCUGUGUUUGGACUGUCUCCUUGAUGGCUUGUCAGUCAGCUUGCUGACCUUGGCUUGCAACUGGUUCUGCUUCAGCAUCUGCCCCAAAAUCCAGCGCUGGUCCCCAUCCUGCUGGAACUCACAGAACCGCUCUGGUGUAUUUAGGGCCCAGCACUAACGAUCAAAGCUAUUCCAAAACUGUUUUGUGAGAGCACGGAGCAGGGUGUUUGUGUGUUCAGGAAAGCAAACUAAAGAGCCGUUAAGCUUUUCCUUAACGCCGCUUGUGGUUUAUAAGCAAAUCCUUGUCCUGCCGCCAUGGAACUUCUGCCUCAGUUGAAUUACAGCCCCCCCACCCCAAACUUGUUUUACAAUGCAAGACUGUCUAAAAUCAUUCCACAUCUACGCUGACCCCCUGGUUGCAAACAUUUCAACUAUACAAGAAAUAACACAUCCCUCCUGCGCCUGGCCCCAAACUUGACCGUGGAAACGAAGAGGUACUUUUGGACUGAUCGGAGGAAAGACACGUGCAGAGUGGCUCUACUGCGCUAAAAAUACGAUCUCUCUUUUCAUUUGCAUGAAAUUUGCAUAUGCUGAUAUGUUUGGACACAAUUUAUUUUUAAAAAAUAUUACUAUCAUUUAAAUAACUCAUUCAACAGGUUAAAUCAUGUUGUUAUUUAGGGUGUUGCUUGCAGCCAAUUCCUCUUGGAAGGCCCAGUACCUAUUGGGAAAGAAAGAGUUGAGAUUCUGGCCUGUCUAGUGUCUAAUGCAGUGGUUCCCAAAGUGGGCGGUACUGCCCCCUUGGAGGCGGUGGGAUUGCACAGGGGGGCGUUAAGAGGCAAGGGGGGCGCUCGAGGUGGUCUUUUCCAAGAAGCGCCUCUCCAGAAGGUCUUAAAACCCAGGGACAUUUUUAUGGGAGAAGUUAGUUUGGUCCCAAGCCAUAUAGGGGAAGAAUCCACACAUGUAAUAAUACUGUUUAAGAAGAGUCCUUUUAACGGUGAAUUGAAAUGUUUCAAAAGCACCGAAACGCUAAUGAAGAGACAUACCCUGCUUGGUGUACCCCGCUAUCCUGCACUAUGGAGAGUGGUUCAGAAGCUCCUGCUUGCAUUUCCAACAUCAUAUUUGGUGGAAUGUGGUUUUAGUGAGGUCUGCCUACUUCUCUCCAAGCAAAGAAAUCGACUCCAGAUUACUAAACGUGGUGAUUUAAGACUCAUGUUAAGUGACUUUAAACCAGACAUUGGGAAACUGGUAUCAUUUCAUAAAGCCCAUCCAUCACAUUAAGAAUUUACAGAAUAGUGAGGUACCUAUCUACCCUAGUUACUAAAUGAGAUGUCUGAUAUUCUUGCUAAAUGACUAUCAAACUUUGAAAAGAUGAUAUCACUGGAUCAAGUUCAAUUAUGUUUAAUUAAAUAAACUAAAAAAUGUAAUUGGAUUUUGAAUAAAUAUUCAAUUAAUUGUUA